rnacentral:lncRNA from 1 species
CACAUAAAUAUCAUUUAAUCCUGCCCUCUAUUUUAAUGAUACCAAUACAAUUCAUAGAUAACAACAAUACCAAGGACAUGGUAAGGAUUCAAUAAAUAUUUGUUGACUUUUAUCAACAACCAUGUGGUUAUCUCUUCUAUAAUAUAUUUCAUUCCUUUAAUGGUGUUUAUUCAAAUGCUUCUGUUCAGAAGGUUGUAGCUUGAACAAACUACUAUAGAAAUGCUAAGAAUUACGUUCAUCUGAAUCCACAUCAAACUGCCAUCUCAUGACUAUUUCAAGUCCUUGAUCUUUUAAAAUGUUGUGAUCAACAGCUUCCAAGUGCCACUCCACACCCACUCUCCACCCUGUGACCCGUAUGAUCUGUACUGACUACUCCCAGGCAGAUCUGUCCAAUGGCGAGGACAAACAGUAUAGGAGAUAAUGAGGCUGAACGCAUAUCCCUCUAGCUUUGCCUCUGCAGGGCCACCACAGGCCAAUUGCCUCAUUAGCCUCUUUCACACAGCCUUCCCCAUCUCCAGACUCCAAGUGUUUGUAUUUCCACUAGGGUAGUAGUAACAGACCCCCACAAACCACCCACUGUUUGUAUCCCCAAUACACUGCACAACUGCCUGAGAUACUACUCUACACGUAAAUAACCCCCUUAUCAAGUUCGCCCCAAAUUAUCCAAAUUCAGGGAUGACAUUGAAUUUUUCCGAUUGAUACAUAGUGCCCAGUCAACUCAACUCUGUAAUACUACUUGAAAUUGCAAAGGCUAUAGAUGCUUUUGUAACAAAAUAAGUCCUAAAAAAUCUGCAGAUGUGCAAAAUGUGUCUCCUAUGCUGACUUGGUGGCAGAGUAUCAAAUCUUUCAGUACUGACAUCUAAAAAUUUUUAGACUGAUUUCCAUAGAAACCAAAGGAGGUUAAAAUUUUAAUUCAAUACCAAGUGUAAAGGCCUCCUUGACAUAUUUUUCCCCUCCACCACUCCCAAGAUUCUAAGUCUCACCCUUGCCUCAAAGUGAAGAUAGAGGAGGAGAACAGCUGUCAUUUAUACUCUACUUUGUAGGUCAAAGACUGAAAAGUCUGGAGAAAGCCACAUUUUGGGAGCAGAAGGGAGAUAAGAACUCAGGAGAAGGAAAAACCAUAAAAAGGACCGAGCCCUGCAAAGUCUCCCCAAAACAGUGCAGCUCCAUUUUGAUUGGUUUCAAGAAACUGUGUAGCCCCUAUAUACAAAAAUAAAGCAAGGCUUUCAAAAACCCUUGAGAAAAAUAGCAGGAAAUUAUGUAAGAAAAUCUCUCCAUGCUUGGAUGAAAUUACAAUAGAGGUUCUAUAGUCAUGGUUUACAAAGAGAGCCAAAUAGUCAAUUACACUCUGUCAUUUGUACAAAUACGUUAAACAGGUUAAAAAAUCAGUAGUCAUAUGUCUGAAUUUUAUAAUGAUUUUCUACUUGGCAAAGAUACUCCUCUGGUGAAAACCUAAAUAACAAAGCUGUGGUUUAAAAAUAAAGAUUAGGAGUUCCCAUUAUGACUCAGUGGUAAACGAACCCAUCUAGCUAUCAUGAGGACUCAAAUUCAAUCCCUGGCCUCGCUCAGUGCAUUAAGGAUCUGGCAUUGCCGUGAGCUGUGGUUUAUGUCGCAGAUGCAGCUUGGAUCUGGAGUGGCUAUGGCUGUGGCGUAGGCCGGCUGCUACAGCUCCGAUUAGACCCCUAGCCUGGGAACCUCCAUAUGCUGCGGGUGUGGCCCUAAAAAGACAAAAAAAUAAAAUAAAAAAUAAAAAUAAAGAUUAUACUUCAAAAUUGUAAAAUAUAAUAAUGUGUAAAUACUGUAUGGAAUAAGUUUAAACAGAAGGAAAAAAAAGAGGGGAGGAGACCUAGACCUGAGGUUGGAGAGCCCAGGACAUGGGAAGGAGGUGUGUGCAUAAUAUAACACCCACCACUGGCAGAAGGAGGCUCCAGGAUACACACCCAUCAUCGACAGCCAUGUAGCUUUCCCAUCAUUCAACUCCAAGGAGCACCAUAUAUUGGGUUACUCAACAGAAAGGCCAGCUAAGCAGCAGUCCUGAUCUUGCUCAGAUCCCAAGUUCCCACAUGGGACCUAGGAAUGAUUAGCUAGACUAGACAUCACACCCUACUUUUUAAUCUCAAGCUCCAUCACCAUGAACAUAAACAGACUGAACCCUUGGAGGUUCUGUGUGUGCUACCUCAGCUUACUCCUACUCAAAAGGCUCUCAAGUUAUUUCCACAUGACUAAUAAACAGGGAAAGGGGGCUACAGGAGGACUGGCUGGCAAGGUACCCUCAAAAGCAGUUAUAUGUACAUUUAUAAUCUGAACUGCCUGCCACCAUUAAAACCUUGAUCUCUGGCUGCCUUAGGAAAAAUUCCUAAGUUCUGGCAACACUGGGUGUGCAUUACCAAAACCCACAUUCCUGGGGAGAAUAACAGCUGUGCCCUUAAACCAGGCCUUCUACCAUCUGCCUUAUUGACUUAGGCUUAAAUCCUGGCUUCUGGAACCUUCUGAGCAGGCCAAGCCUGAAAACCCAGAGGAGUUCCUGACCUUUGCUUCUUCUCCAGAGAGAAACAAGACGCUGGCUACAGUUAAUACAGCACCCUUUACGGCUCGCUCUAGUGAGGAGUGGAAAUACUUGGACGCUUGGGACUAAGAGACCAUCUCCUUGAUCACAAGUAGCAUCAGCUUUACCGUUGUUGAGCAAAGAGUAACUUGCCCAGAUUACAAGAGCAAUUUCUACAAAAAAUUGUACUUUAACCUCCAUGCUCUCUUUCUCCAUCUGGAGAGUUUUAAGUUCACACAGAGCCACUGAUGAAAAUGUCUGAAAAGUGGCACACUGCUUUAGGUUUUACCCUGCACUGGGUCAGGCUGGGUCCCUGACUCCCCCACCCACACCUCCACAUCCCACACCAAUCCCAUCCUGGACAGAUGGUGAGAACAUGUGCCCUCACGCACAGUUCUGCCCCUUUGCUUGCGGGGGAGGCUUGCCCUAUGUUCACCCAUCUUUGGAGGUGAAAGCAUCAUGUUCCACAAGGCAGCUAAUGACAACAGAAGAGGGAAAUACAAGAGCUUUUCAUGAAAUAAAUGUGGAGCCACUCCUUUUUUAUCUCAGUCCGUCGUGCCACCAUGAUGAACAGAAACAAGUGCAGCCCUGAUCCUCAACUAACUUCUCAGUACAGCAGCCUGUGGAAGCAGAGAGGAAGUCUUCUGCCCUGAACAAUGCCUUAUGCACCUUAUACCACUCCCAUACCUUAUGCACCUGAAACAGUUGGCAUUUACUCCACCACAUCAGACUGCUGCAGGCAGAGCUGCAUCCCCUUUAGGGUCACUUCUGUAAAGUCUAAACCGAGCACACAAUUUUCAGGAUGGCUGCUGCUUCUAAGGUUUUAAGGAUUAAAGGAAAGUGUUAACUCUGAAAUCAUAGGAUUCCACAGCACUGAAAUGGCAUAGGAUGAAUCAGCAAGGAAAACCAUAUGUAGGACCUCACAAUAAAACCUUUGUCACUCAGAUGAACAAUAAGGCACCAUAUGAUCUGCGCAGAAGGGUCCUGGCAGAUAUUCUGGUUUAGUGGGGAUGCAACAGGCAGGGACUCAAAAUGACCUCAUUGAAUUAGGUCUUCAUUAAUAUGAUGAACAGUAUUUUUUUUUUCUUUUUAUGGCCCCAUUUGCAGCACAUGGAAGUUCCUAGGCUAGGGAUCGAAGCAUAGCUGCAGCUGUAGGCUACAGCAGAGCCAUGGCCAACACCUGAUCUGAGCUGCAUCUGCAACCUAUGCUUCAGUUUGUGGCAACGCUGGAUCCUUAACCCACUGAGCAAGGCCAGGGAUCGAACCCACAUCGUCAUGGAGAAUCUAUCAGGUUCUUAACCCACUGAGCCACAAUGGGAGCUCUAAGAGGGUAUUAUGUUUUAUUCAAAAGAUUAUAACUGAGUAUUACUUCAACAACAAGCAUCCAUUUUUUUGUUUGUUUCUUCCCCUAGAAUCUUUGUCCACAUGAGGUCUGGCAUUCAUCAUGGGAUUGUUCAGACCUACCUACUAUCUC